AAGGUAGCGUAAUCACUUGUCUUUUAAUUAAGGACCCGUAUGAAUGACAAAACGAGGGCUCAACUGUCUCCUUCUUUCAGUCAAUGAAAUUGAUCUCCCCGUGCAGAAGCGGGCAUUCAUUCAUAAGACGAGAAGACCCUAUGAAGCUUAGACAAUGGGACAUACCCUGUUAAUACACCCCCAUAAAAGGGCCAAAACCUACCCACCCAUGUCCCCGUCUUAGGUUGGGGCGACCCCGGGGAACAAAAACCCCCCACGUGGAAUAGUACAUCCGCUACCCACAACCGAGAGCCACGACUCCAAAAACCAGAACCUCUGACCACAAAUAUGACCCGGCAAUGCCGAUCAACGAACAGUUACUCUAGGGAUAACAGCGCAAUCCCCUUUUUAGAGGCCGCAUCAACAAGGGGGUUUAC
rnacentral:rRNA from 1 species